CCCCCGGAGACCCCCGGCUGAUGGGGGAAAGGGUGAGUGACACGGGCCCCAGGGCAGGCCCGGGGGUGGGGGGGCUGCCCUGGGGGCCCCUGGGGUCCGGUGGCGCCCGGCCCGGGGCGAGUCCCACGAUGACCGCACGUCCUGCUCCCCAGGGUGAAGACGGCCCCCCCGGAAACGGCACCGAGGGCUUCCCUGGCUUCCCCGGCUAUCCGGGCAAGCAGGGGGACUCCCGGGAUAAACGGCACUUAAAGGCUACCCCGGCCUCAAGGGGGACGAAGGAGAAGCCGGGGACCCGGAGAGGACGUAAGUGCAGAGCCCCCCGCAGGCUGGGAGCCCCACCCGCCGAGGAGGGAGGGCGGCUCCGAGGGCGGGCCGGGCGUCCAGGGGACGAGGGGACAGGCCCGCAGCAGGCGUUCAUGCCAGUGACACGGUGCUGGUGCCCCCAGAACAACGACGUCGCUCCCCGAGGCGCCAAAUGGAGCGAAGGGGUACCGAGGCCCUGAAGGCCCCCAGGUGAGUGCCGCAGGCGGGCACCCGACCUGAGCCUGCAGAGGGCUGGGGGGUGGGUUCGGGAGCAGGGCUCGGGGAAGGCUGGGAGGCGGGCUUGCGGCAGGUGGGAUGGGG
rnacentral:lncRNA from 9 species